ACAUGCAGUCGAGCGGAACGAGUUAUCUGAACCUUCGGGGAACGAUAACGGCGUCGAGCGGCGGACGGGUGAGUAAUGCCUAGGAAAUUGCCCUGAUGUGGGGGAUAACCAUUGGAAACGAUGGCUAAUACCGCAUGAUGCCUACGGGCCAAAGAGGGGGACCUUCGGGCCUCUCGCGUCAGGAUAUGCCUAGGUGGGAUUAGCUAGUUGGUGAGGUAAGGGCUCACCAAGGCGACGAUCCCUAGCUGGUCUGAGAGGAUGAUCAGCCACACUGGAACUGAGACACGGUCCAGACUCCUACGGGAGGCAGCAGUGGGGAAUAUUGCACAAUGGGCGCAAGCCUGAUGCAGCCAUGCCGCGUGUGUGAAGAAGGCCUUCGGGUUGUAAAGCACUUUCAGUCGUGAGGAAGAUGGUAGUGUUAAUAGCUCCAUCAUUUGACGUUAGCGACAGAAGAAGCACCGGCUAACUCCGUGCCAGCAGCCGCGGUAAUACGGAGGGUGCGAGCGUUAAUCGGAAUUACUGGGCGUAAAGCGCAUGCAGGGUGGUUUGUUAAGUCAGAUGUGAAAGCCCGGGGCUCAACCUCGGAAUAGCAUUUGAAACUGGCAGACUAGAGUACUGUAGAGGGGGGGUAGAGAAUUCCAGGUUGUAGGCGGUUGAAAUGCGUAGAGGUCCUGAAGGAAUACCGGUGGGCGGAAGGCGGGCCCCCUGGACAGAUACUGACACUCAGAUGCGAAAGCGGUGGGGGGAGCAAACAGGAUUAGAUACCCUGGUAGUCCACGCCGUAACGAUGUCUA
rnacentral:rRNA from 1 species